rnacentral:rRNA from 1 species
CCUACGGGAGGCAGCAGUGGGGAAUAUUGGACAAUGGGCGAAAGCCUGAUCCAGCAAUGCCGCGUGAGUGAUGAAGGCCUUAGGGUUGUAAAGCUCUUUUACCAGGGAUGAUAAUGACAGUACCUGGAGAAUAAGCUCCGGCUAACUCCGUGCCAGCAGCCGCGGUAAUACGGAGGGAGCUAGCGUUGUUCGGAAUUACUGGGCGUAAAGCGUACGUAGGCGGUUAUUCAAGUCAGAGGUGAAAGCCUGGAGCUCAACUCCAGAACUGCCUUUGAAACUAGAUAGCUAGAAUCUUGGAGAGGUGAGUGGAAUUCCGAGUGUAGAGGUGAAAUUCGUAGAUAUUCGGAAGAACACCAGUGGCGAAGGUGACUCACUGGACAAGUAUUGACGCUGAGGUACGAAAGCGUGGGGAGCAAACAGGAUUAGAUACCCUGGUAGUCCACGCCGUAAACGAUGAUAACUAGCUGUUCGGGCUCUACGAGCUUGAGUGGCGCAGCUACGACAUUAAGUUAUCCGUCCGUCGGGAGGUACGGUCGCGAGAAUUAAACUACAAGGAAGUUAGUACGGCGUGAGACGUGCCGACGGACGACGACGAGGGAGGUUAGG